UACGGGGGGGGGCAAGCGUUGUUCGGAAUUACUGGGCGUAAAGGGCUCGUAGGCGCCAACUAAGUCGGAUGUGAAAUCCCCCAGCUUAACCUGGGAACUGCAUCCGAUACUGGAUGGCUUGAAUCCGGGAGAGGGAUGCAGAAUUCCAGGUGUAGCGGUGAAAAUGCGUAGAUAUCUGGGAGGAAUACCGGUGGCGAAGGCGGCAUCCUGGACCGGCAUUGACGCUGAUGAGCGAAAGCUAGGGGA
rnacentral:rRNA from 1 species